CCAGCGCCGAAUCCCCGGCCUCCGGUCGCGGGAAAUGUGGCGUUAAGGAGUGAGCGUGCCGGGUUCGCGCUGUCGACGGCAAGUCCCCCUGACCGGGGCCUAUCCAGAGCGGGUGCGAGACCCAUAGCCGUCCGGCGCAUCUCGGAAUGCGAUCUCCGUGGAGUCGGGUUGCUUGGGAGUGCAGCCCUAAUCGGGUGGUAAACUCCACCUAAGGCUAAAUACCGCCGUGAGACCGAUAGCAAACAAGUACCGUGAGGGAAAGUUGCAAAGAACUUUGAAGAGAGAGUUCAAGAGUACGUGAAACUGCUCAGAGGUAAACGGGUGGGCCCUCGAAAUCCUGUGGCGAGAGGAUUCAGUCUGGCGUAUCGCGCGUGCUCGACCGGGAUUCAUAAGAGGCUUCCCUGAACGGGGCCGUCCGGUCGCACGUCUCGCGACUUGUGCAGACGCAUUUGGCUCUCGCCCGAAGGACGCUGCAGCCGGCGGGGCAGUGCAAACGCGACGGCCUGAAGGUCGGGAGAUGGCAGGUGGCCGGCGGCGCGCCUCGUGCGCGUCUGCCGGUUGUUAGCCGUCCCGUCAGUGGCCCGUCGCCCCGCCGAGGUGUCACCAGGCCCCCCAUGGGGCUUCUCCGCCCGCUUAAUCAUUAAGCGAGUAGCCGUUGCUGGGCACCGACCGGAGACUCGUCGCCCUCCCUCAGGAGGGGACGGUAGUCGAGCCGGACCCGCAGGCGACGUGAAGGCUCGCGGCAGGCCGGAGGCUGGCAGCGAGUAGGUCGGUCACCCACCCGACCCGUCUUGAAACACGGACCAAGGAGUCCAACAUGUGCGCGAGUCAAUGGGUCUUGAACAGGCCCAGGGGCGCAAUGAAAGCAAAGGCCGGCACAUCGCCGGCCGAGUCGGGAUCCCCGGCCUCGGCCGGGGCGCACCGACGACCCGUCCCGUCCGGCUCGCCGGUGGGGCGGCGUGUGAGCGUACACGUUGGGACCCGAAAGAUGGUGAACUAUGCCCGGACAGGACGAGGCCAGAGGAAACUCUG
rnacentral:rRNA from 1 species